GAACGAGACCUUCGGGUCUAGUGGCGCACGGGUGCGUAACGCGUGGGAAUCUACCCUUGGGUUCGGAAUAACAGUUAGAAAUGACUGCUAAUACCGGAUGAUGACGUAAGUCCAAAGAUUUAUCGCCCAAGGAUGAGCCCGCGUAGGAUUAGCUUGUUGGUGAGGUAAAAGCUCACCAAGGCGACGAUCCUUAGCUGGUCUGAGAGGAUGAUCAGCCACACUGGGACUGAGACACGGCCCAGACUCCUACGGGAGGCAGCAGUGGGGAAUAUUGGACAAUGGGCGAAAGCCUGAUCCAGCAAUGCCGCGUGAGUGAUGAAGGCCUUAGGGUUGUAAAGCUCUUUUACCCGGGAUGAUAAUGACAGUACCGGGAGAAUAAGCUCCGGCUAACUCCGUG
rnacentral:rRNA from 1 species